rnacentral:rRNA from 1 species
UGGGGAAUCUUCCGCAAUGGGCGCAAGCCUGACGGAGCAACGCCGCGUGAGUGAAGAAGGCUUUCGGGUUGUAAAACUCUGUCUUCAGGGAAGAAGAAAGUGACGGUACCUGAGGAGGAAGCCCCGGCUAACUACGUGCCAGCAGCCGCGGUAAAACGUAGGGGGCGAGCGUUGUCCGGAAUUACUGGGCGUAAAGGGCGCGUAGGCGGUUUCUUAAGUCAGAGGUGAAAACUACCGGCUUAACCGGUAGCCUGCCUUUGAAACUGGGGAACUUGAGGGCAGGAGAGGGGAGUGGAAUUCCCAGUGUAGCGGUGAAAUGCGUAGAUAUUGGGAGGAACACCAGUGGCGAAGGCGGCUCUCUGGCCUGUUUCUGACGCUGAGGCGCGAAAGCGUGGGGAGCAAACGG